GGCCGUGUGGCGCAACGGUAGCGCAGCGGACUUUUAAUCCGUUGGUUGCAGGUUCGAAUCCUGCCACGGUCA
rnacentral:tRNA from 2 species